UACGUAGGGGGCAAGCGUUGUCCGGAAUCAUUGGGCGUAAAGCGCGUGUAGGCGGCCAGAAAAGUCCGCUGUGAAAACUCGAGGCUCAACUUCGAGCUGUCGGUGGAAACUUUCUGGCUAGAGUCCGGAAGAGGAGAAUGGAAUUCCUGGUGUAGCGGUGAAAUGCGCAGAUAUCAGGAAGAACACCCGUGGCGAAGGCGGUUCUCUGGGACGGUACUGACGCUGAGACGCGAAAGCGUGGGGGAGCAAACAGG
rnacentral:rRNA from 1 species